GCAUUUUCGAGCCAAAAGUGCGAAGCGCCUACGCGGGGAAAUCAGUCCAUUGGACUGAUUUCUGAUCCCGCUUCGAUGCGCCGGAUAAUGCGUAGAAACAAAGAGAUAGAGCGGUUCCAACGAUUCUGUUAAAACAGGAACCGCUCCAGAACUAAACAGCCAGUCUUACCGGAU
rnacentral:misc_RNA from 1 species